AUAUGAGCGAUGACAAGAGAAAGUACAUGGAUGGAACCUCCAAAGAGAGCCCCGAUGGUGGAAACGGGCGUGGGAAUUCCAUGGAAGUGCCUCUUCGAGCCGGCCAGCUGAACCCAAGUAAGCGGCCCGGGAUCACCCGUUACAGUGGCUGAGUCUUUUUGACUUACCAAGGCUUUUGCGGCAACGCAGGGGCGAAAUUGGGUGGAACACGGAAAAUCCCGUCCCUUUG
rnacentral:ncRNA from 1 species